CCACUGCGUGCCACACAGCGUGCUGUGACAGUCACUUGACCCCGGUAUCUCACUGAAUCCUCCUAACAGCCCAAGAGAUAUGCUCCAAUCCACCCCUGGGGGCAGCCAGAUGAGAGCCUGCCAGAAGAAAGGACUCACCACAGGGACUACAGCUGAAAACCUGAAACGUCCUUUGGCAGGAAAGCACAAAUAUCUGGUGAGACAGGAUGAGAACAUGAAACCUCUGCUACGGCCACUGCAAGAAUAUUGGUUAUUACACAGUGUCCACACUGUGAGAACAUUGACUUUGACAUUCUAGAGGAGGGCAGAACCACAUAUAGAAGAAGCCUGGAUCCCUGAAUGACUGCAUGGAUUCAACACAGCACCUAUACACACACCUGCCCUCUGUGCCCCGAUAAUCUACACUAGAGGACGAUGUGAGC